UAUAUAUAUAUAAAUAUUUAAUCAAGAUUUUACCUGAGAUUUUAUCUGAGUUUAACUAAAGUUUUACAUCAAAUGUAUACAAUUCUUAAGCCUAAAAAGCUUUUUUAUACUGCAUAGAUAUAGUCUUUAAAGCCCUUUGAGUAUAAUUUUCUUAAAUAUUUAGAAAAACUUCUGGUCAAUAAACUUUAUUCAAUGGUCUAUAUAUUUCAGACCACAAUAGGCUAGGAUAACUGCGUUAUCCUGUUUUAGUACUCCAGGUUGUGCAAUACUAGGUUUAUAGAACAUCUUAUUUAAAAGUAAACGCUAACACUGCCUACACCUUUAGAAUUGAAGCUCUUUAAAACUUAUGGAUGUUAUAUAAAGUGAAUCCAGAUCAUUCUCGUAUUUCAACGCCUGACCUGAACUAUGAACUAAUGAAUCAACAGGUGAUAAUACGUUCUUAAAUAACUUAAACUUUUGAAGCUUAUCCGAGACUAAUUAAUCCCUUAUCUCGUAGACCAAGUCCUCCUCUUAUCUACCCACGCCGUACUCCUGGACGAGGAUGAUCUCUUCCAUCUAAAGAAAGUCUGAUAGAGCAGAUUCAUCUAUACAAGCUGCAGACUGCCUGUUUGCAACUGGGAGCACGAUGAACCUGUCGACCUGAGCCAAACCGCCUGCAGAGUGUCUCCCUGCUGGGCACUAUCGUCUUCACCUCCUACAUGGAGAAGUCCUGUCGGAAGCGUCUUCCUUGCUUCUCUAAACCGGGACUGCUGCUAUUAAGCAGAUAAAGAUCUCAUCAUUGUCCUCAAGAUUGAGAUCUGAUGUUUAACUCAACCUUAUUUGGAUCCAAUCAUCAUCUUCACUACCUCCCUAUUGGAGAAGUGCCAUCUGAAGCAUCUCCUUUGCUUCUCUAAACCGGGACUGCUGCUAUUAAGCAGAUAAAGUUAUGUAUAAGAGACAGCUGGUAACGAUCAUCCAACUCUAGAGCUAUUAAAUUCUCC